CUGAGCUGUUGGUGAGCGGGCCCCCAUUGUUUGUCUCUUUGCCCUUAAAAACCGGAUCUUGAUGAGUGAAUUAUUGGCUUGUGGUGUUUUGUUUAGUUUUAAGGGGAGCAGCUUGCUUGCUUGCUGAUUGGCAUCUUCAGGAGGCCGAAAUUCCAGCUUUUUCUUCUCUUAAAGCUUGGAGUUGGAGGGAGAUUCUCUUCACCGGCGGAUCCUCGGAGAGAUUAGAGAUUAUUGUAGCGAGUCUUAGCUCGCGGGGCUUGGUGAACCCAACUCUGUAGCUCGGAGCCAGGAGAAGAUCAAAUUUAGGUCUGGGGGGCGUCAGAGAGUCGUAUUGUCUGCGUUAUCAGUAUCUUGUUAUUACCUGCUUGUGAGUGUAAGACUUGUAUUCUGAUUGUAUUUGUAAUUUGCGAACUGUUGGGUUGUAUUUGUAUUCUGUAGGGCUGCUAUAGUCCAUACUUGUAGUAUUUUAAAUUUCCAGUAUCCUAUUUGUGCUUU